rnacentral:lncRNA from 1 species
CACAGCUCGGGACGCGGGGAGCGCGGCCGGCGCGAGCUCAAGACCCGGCCCGACGUGCUCACUGCGGCAGCGGCGCCUCCUGGACGGGGACCCAGGGCCCGGACCGCGCUCUUCCCGGGGGCGCCGCCGAGCCCUCGUCCCUGCCGGGCCCGGCUGCCGCAGGUGCGUGGGCGAGCGAGGCGGCUGCGUCCGCGGGCCCCGGCGUGGGGUCGGGGGUUGAGUGGGCACGUGGUUCUUUCUGGGGUGACGAGAAGGUCCUACCGUCGUGGGGAUGGUCCUGCCUCUCUCGGUGAAGUUACUCACUCGGAACGGGUGAGCUUUGUGAUACGUGCUCUGCGUUCAGUAGCGCUGUUACAGUCGUAAGUAAAAGCAGUAACGUCAGCGCCGACCCAGCGCAGCCCUCUCCAGACCGGGUGCGGAGCCCGUCACGUCUGCCCCGCCGGCGAGGAGCAGAGCCCGGCAAGAACCCUCCUCCAGAGGGGCCCCGACCAGGGCUGUGCCUCCGGGAGCAGGUGCUGCUUACACAGAGGGACGCCAGGACGGGCAGCCCCACACCUCCAGUGACCUCCCGUCCCCCAGAGCUGAAGACAUGGCCUGACUAAGCGGCGACCACAUCGACGCACCAGUUUUUUCUUUUUUGAAACAGGGUCUCCCUUUGUCGCCCAGGCUGCAGUGCAGUAGCGCGAUCUCGGCUCACUGCAGCCUCUACCUCCCCGGCACAAGCGAUCCUCCAGCCUCAGCCUCCCGAGUAGCUGGGACUACAGGCGCCACCAUGCCCGGCUACCUUUUGUAUUUUUUGUAGAGAUGGCGCCUUGCCAAGUUCCCCAGGCAUUAACCCGGAAACAACCUGGCGGGUCAGGGAGAGCCUCUUCUGCUCAGAGGUCAUUGUGCCCAGACUUGAGCCCUGGCUGUGAAGUCCCUGAGGCCCCUCACUCCAGGGACGGGAAGCACCAAAGAUGUGAUGUUUCCUCCUCGGUUUCUGAGACUGCCUGGAAGCGGGGGGUGGAUAGUGGUGAGCAGCCGUCUCCUCCUUUCCUGAGAACAUAAAUCAGAAACGCUUUCUGAGGCCGGGCACGGUGGGUCAUGCCUGUAAUCCCAGCACUUUGGGAGGCUGAGGUGGGUGGAUCACCUGAGGUCAGGACCAGCUUGGCCAACAUCGUGAUAACCCCCUCUCCACUGAAAAUACAAAAAUGAGCCAGGCAUGUUGGUACGUGCCUGUAAUCCCAGCUACUUAGGAGGCUGAGGCAGAAGAAUUGCUUAAACUCGGGAAACGGAGGUUGCAGUGAGCUGAGAUUGUGCCACUGCACUCCAGCCUGGGCUACAGAGUGAGACUCUUGUCUCAGGAAAAAAAAAAAAAAAAAAGUGCCUCAAAAAUA